rnacentral:rRNA from 1 species
GACGAACGCUGGCGGCGUGCUUAACACAUGCAAGUCGAACGGUAAGGCCCUUCGGGGUACACGAGUGGCGAACGGGUGAGUAACACGUGGGUGAUCUGCCCUGCACUUCGGGAUAAGCCUGGGAAACUGGGUCUAAUACCGGAUAGGACCACUGCCUGCAUGGGAGGUGGUGGAAAGCUUUUGCGGUGUGGGAUGGGCCCGCGGCCUAUCAGCUUGUUGGUGGGGUGAUGGCCUACCAAGGCGACGACGGGUAGCCGGCCUGAGAGGGUGACCGGCCACACUGGGACUGAGAUACGGCCCAGACUACUACGGGAGGCAGCAGUGGGGAAUAUUGCACAAUGGGCGCAAGCCUGAUGCAGCGACGCCGCGUGAGGGAUGACGGCCUUCGGGUUGUAAACCUCUUUCAGCACCGACGAAGCGCAAGUGACGGUAGGUGCAGAAGAAGGACCGGCCAACUACGUGCCAGCCGCCGCGGUAA